UGUUAAUGUUUUGGUUUUGAAGUAAAGCUGUGCUCACACCAUGAGCUGUCGAAGAACGUGAGUAAUCCCAUGUUUGAGUAAUAACGAAGAAGUCUACUCCCCCCUCUUACUCAAAUUCCUACUCAAAAUCCUCAUUUUUAAACUUUUGAUGUCCCGCCGGCAAUUUGAUUCACAAAUCAGCCCCCAAAAUGCGGUCAACGCGGAUUUCGCUUUUCCGCCAAUCCAAACAAGUUAGAGCUCUAUAUACAGGCGGAAAAUAAUGAAACGAUCAGAAGUAGAAAAAAGUGAGUAAAAGCCAAACGCAAGAGUUUGUCUUUAGAUCGGCGGAGAUCAUCUUCGAGAGGUUAUGCGAAGCUAGAUUGGAACUUGAGACCUAUACCCUGAGAGGCAAGGUGUAUACCGCUCGAGUCUUCUCGACUAUUAGAACUUGAGGCUUCAAUUUGCUGCUAACGCGCUCCCCUUGCAUGAAGGAUUAUUUGUUUGGCUUAUUUGUUGGUUUAAUCAGUACGUACUACUCCAUCAG